rnacentral:lncRNA from 1 species
GUUUCUAUUAUAUUGAUAAUUCAAACACAACUUACAGCAUAAGCAAACCGUGAACCUUAGAAGAUAAGUCACGUUACAGAUAAUUCACAAACAUCAAAUAAGUAAACCUCCUAAUCCAAAAUACCAAACAACAAACAAAACAAAAUACUGAAAAGCAAACUAGAAUACAGAACACCAGUCAUGCUUCCUCUGUUUUUCAAGGAGUAUU